rnacentral:rRNA from 1 species
CCUACGGGAGGCUGCAGUCGAGAAUCUUGGGCAAUGCACGAAAGUGUGACCCAGCGACGCCGCGUGAAGGAUGAAGGCCCUCUGGGUCGUAAACUUCUUUUAAGGGGGAAAAAUCAAUGAUGGUACCCCUUGAAUAAGCCACGGCUAACUACGUGCCAGCAGCCGCGGUAAUACGUAGGUGGCAAGCGUUGUCCGGAUUUACUGGGCGUAAAGCGUAUGCAGGCGGACCGUUAAGUAGGAAGUGAAAGGUUGGAGCUCAACUCUAACACUGCUCCCUAUACUGGCGGUCUUGAGUGGCGGAGAGGAAGACGGAACGACACGUGUAGCGGUGAAAUGCGUUGAUAUGUGUCGGAACACCAAUGGCGAAAGCAGUCUUCUGGACGCAAACUGACGCUGAGAUACGAAAGCCAAGGUAGCAAACAGGAUUAGAUACCCGAGUA